rnacentral:rRNA from 1 species
GGCGGACGGGUGAGUAACGCGUGGGUAACCUGCCCUGUACACACGGAUAACAUACCGAAAGGUAUGCUAAUACGAGAUAAUAUACUUUUAUCGCAUGGUAGAAGUAUCAAAGCUUUUGCGGUACAGGAUGGACCCGCGUCUGAUUAGCUAGUUGGUAAGGUAACGGCUUACCAAGGCGACGAUCAGUAGCCGACCUGAGAGGGUGAUCGGCCACAUUGGAACUGAGACACGGUCCAAACUCCUACGGGAGGCAGCAGUGGGGAAUAUUGCACAAUGGGCGGAAGCCUGAUGCAGCAACGCCGCGUGAGCGAUGAAGGCCUUCGGGUCGUAAAGCUCUGUCCUCAAGGAAGAUAAUGACGGUACUUGAGGAGGAAGCCCCGGCUAACUACGUGCCAGCAGCCGCGGUAAUACGUAGGGGGCUAGCGUUAUCCGGAAUUACUGGGCGUAAAGGGUGCGUAGGUGGUUUCUUAAGUCAGAGGUGAAAGGCUACGGCUCAACCGUAGUAAGCCUUUGAAACUGGGAAACUUGAGUGCAGGAGAGGAGAGUGGA